rnacentral:rRNA from 1 species
UCGAAUUCCUGCUAAGCAGACGACCCGAGAACAUGUUUAUCGUACGGGCGUCGGGACGAGGGAAACCUCCGGACCGAUGCCCCGAGCAUGACGGACGACCACCAAUCGAUCGUCGUGCAAACAACAAACCCCGGGCGCAGAAAAGCACCAAGGAAAACCGUAAAAAGGAUUGUCUGCCCCCUGUCGUGCCGUAUGCGGUGCGUACGGGAGGACCACAGACGCCUAAAGAAACA